GGGAAACUCAAAGGAGACUGCCGGUGAUAAACCGGAGGAAGGUGGGGAUGACGUCAAGUCAUCAUGGCCCUUACGAGUAGGGCUACACACGUGCUACAAUGGCGUAUACAAAGAGAAGCGACCUCGCGAGAGCAAGCGGAACUCAUAAAGUACGUCGUAGUCCGGAUUGGAGUCUGCAACUCGACUCCAUGAAGUCGGAAUCGCUAGUAAUCGUAGAUCAGAAUGCUACGGUGAAUACGUUCCCGGGCCUUGUACACACCGCCCGUCACACCAUGGGAGUGGGUUGCAAAAGAAGUAGGUAGCUUAACCUUCGGGAGGGCGCUUACCACUUUGUGAUUCAUGACUGGGGUGAAGUCGUAACAAGGUAACCA
rnacentral:rRNA from 1 species